GACGAACGCUGGCGGCGUGCUUAACACAUGCAAGUCGAACGGAAAGGCCCUGCUUUUGUGGGGUGCUCGAGUGGCGAACGGGUGAGUAACACGUGAGUAACCUGCCCUUGACUUUGGGAUAACUUCAGGAAACUGGGGCUAAUACCGGAUAGGAGCUCCUGCUGCAUGGUGGGGGUUGGAAAGUUUCGGCGGUUGGGGAUGGACUCGCGGCUUAUCAGCUUGUUGGUGGGGUAGUGGCUUACCAAGGCUUUGACGGGUAGCCGGCCUGAGGGGGUGACCGGCCACAUUGGGACUGAGAUACGGCCCAGACUCCUACGGGAGGCAGCAGUGGGGAAUAUUGCACAAUGGGCGGAAGCCUGAUGCAGCAACGCCGCGUGCGGGAUGACGGCCUUCGGGUUGUAAACCGCUUCCGCCUGUGACGAAGCGUGAGUGACGGUAAUGGGUAAAGAAGCACCGGCUAACUACGUGCCAGCAGCCGCGGUGAUACGUAGGGUGCGAGCGUUGUCCGGAUUUAUUGGGCGUAAAGGGCUCGUAGGUGGUUGAUCGCGUCGGAAGUGUAAUCUUGGGGCUUAACCCUGAGCGUGCUUUCGAUACGGGUUGACUUGAGGAAGGUAGGGGAGAAUGGAAUUCCUGGUGGAGCGGUGGAAUGCGCAGAUAUCAGGAGGAACACCAGUGGCGAAGGCGGUUCUCUGGGCCUUUCCUGACGCUGAGGAGCGAAAGCGUGGGGAGCGAACAGGCUUAGAUACCCUGGUAGUCCACGCUGUAAACGGUGGGUACUAGGUGUGGGGUCCAUUCCACGGGUUCCGUGCCGUAGCUAACGCUUUAAGUACCCCGCCUGGGGAGUACGGCCGCAAGGCUAAAACUCAAAGGAAUUGACGGGGCCCCGCACAAGCGGCGGAGCAUGCGGAUUAAUUCGGUGCAACGCGUAGAACCUUACCUGGGUUUGACAUGGAUCGGGAGCGCUCAGAGAUGGGUGUGCCUCUUUUGGGGUCGGUUCACAGGUGGUGCAUGGCUGUCGUCAGCUCGUGUCGUGAGAUGUUGGGUUAAGUCCCGCAACGAGCGCAACCCUUGUUCACUGUUGCCAGCACGUUAUGGUGGGGACUCAGUGGAGACCGCCGGGGUCAACUCGGAGGAAGGUGGGGAUGACGUCAAGUCAUCAUGCCCCUUAUGUCCAGGGCUUCACGCAUGCUACAAUGGCUGGUACAGAGAGUGGCGAGCCUGUGAGGGUGAGCGAAUCUCGGAAAGCCGGUCUCAGUUCGGAUUGGGGUCUGCAACUCGACCUCAUGAAGUCGGAGUCGCUAGUAAUCGCAGAUCAGCAACGCUGCGGUGAAUACGUUCCCGGGGCU
rnacentral:rRNA from 1 species